rnacentral:rRNA from 1 species
CGGACUGCAGUCUGCAACUCGACUGCACGAAGUCGGGAUUGCUAGUAAUCGCGGAUCAGCAUGCCGCGGUGAAUACGUUCCCGGGUCUUGUACACACCGCCCGUCACACCAUGAGAGCCGGAAACACCCGAAGUCCGUAGCCUAACCGCAAGGGGGCGCGGCCGAAGGUGGGUUUGGUAAUUGGGGUGAAGUCGUAACAAGGUACC